rnacentral:rRNA from 1 species
CGCAUCUGUGCAUGCAGCAUAUCAAUAAGCGGAGGAAAAGAAACUAACAAGGAUUCCCUUAGUAACGGCGAGUGAAGCGGGAAGAGCUCAAAUUUGAAAUCUUCAAGGUUUUACCUUGACGAAUUGUAGUUUAAAGAAGUGUUUUCUGUUGAAGUUUUGGUAAAAGUUCUUUGGAAUAGGACAUCAUAGAGGGUGAGAAUCCCGUAUUUGACCAUUAUUUUCAGCUGUGUGAUACACUUUCAAAGAGUCGGAUUGUUUGGGAAUGCAGUCCAAAAUGGGUGGUAAAUUUCAUCUAAAGCUAAAUAUUGGCGAGAGACCGAUAGCGAACAAGUACCGUGAGGGAAAGAUGAAAAGAACUUUGAAAAGAGAGUUAAACAGUACGUGAAAUUGUCAAAAGGGAAGCGUUUGACACCAGUGUUGUUUUCUCGAAAAUCAAUUAAAAAGAGUUAGAUUUUGUUGUGUAUUGACCUUAACAGCUUGCAUUUCAAUUUUCUUGCUCUUUUUAAUGCACUUUUCGUUUAACAAGUCAACAUCAGUUUCUUUUGUUGUAAAAAGGUCAUUGGAAGGUGGCUUUCUUUUCGGAGAAAGUGUUUAUAGCCUUUGACUCCUGCAAUCGGAGAGACUGAGGUCUGCAGCGUAGAUCCUUCGGGGUUAGAUACAUUUGUGCUAAGUUAUAGCUUUUUAUAGACAACUUGUUGACUAUGAUUAGUCUUGUAGCUUACUCGCUUAUGCUAUUUUACCUACGCUUAGGAUGUUGACGCGCGUGUGUGCGUG